rnacentral:rRNA from 1 species
GGGGAAUAUUGCGCAAUGGGGGCAACCCUGACGCAGCCAUGCCGCGUGAAUGAAGAAGGCCUUCGGGUUGUAAAGUUCUUUCGGUAGCGAGGAAGGCAUUUAGUUUAAUAGACUAGGUGAUUGACGUUAACUACAGAAGAAGCACCGGCUAACUCCGUGCCAGCAGCCGCGGUAAUACGGAGGGUGCGAGCGUUAAUCGGAAUAACUGGGCGUAAAGGGCACGCAGGCGGUGACUUAAGUGAGGUGUGAAAGCCCCGGGCUUAACCUGGGAAUUGCAUUUCAUACUGGGUCGCUAGAGUACUUUAGGGAGGGGUAGAAUUCCACGUGUAGCGGUGAAAUGCGUAGAGAUGUGGAGGAAUACCGAAGGCGAAGGCAGCCCCUUGGGAAUGUACUGACGCUCAUGUGCGAAAGCGUGGGGAGCAAACAGGAUUAGAUACCCUGGUAGUCCACGCUGUAAACGAUGUCGAUUUGGGGGUUGAACUUUGAGUUUGGCGCCCGUAGCUAACGUGAUAAAUCGACCGCCUGGGGAGUACGGCCGCAAGGUUA